rnacentral:rRNA from 1 species
UGCGUAGGCGGGUCUUUAAGUCAGAGGUGAAAUCCUGGAGCUCAACUCCAGAACUGCCUUUGAUACUGAAGAUCUUGAGUUCGGGAGAGGUGAGUGGAACUGCGAGUGUAGAGGUGAAAUUCGUAGAUAUUCGCAAGAACACCAGUGGCGAAGGCGGCUCACUGGCCCGAUACUGACGCUGAGGCACGAAAGCGUGGGGAGCAAACA